rnacentral:rRNA from 1 species
AUACGGAGGAUGCAAGCGGUAUCCGGAUUUAUUGGGUUUAAAGGGUGCGUAGGCGGAGGAGUAAGUCAGGGGUGAAAUGCACCGGCUCAACUGCGGAACUGCCUUUGAUACGGCUUUUCUGGAGUCCGGAUGCGGUGGGAGGAAUGGGACGUGUAGCGGUGAAAUGCAUAGAUAUGGCCCAGAACACCGAGUGCGAAGGCAUCUCACGCAUCCGGGACUGACGCUGAUGCACGAAAGCGUGGGGAUCAAACAGGAAUAGAUUCGCUGGUAAUGCACGCAGUGAACGAAGAUAACUAACCGGCGGCGAGAGACAUUCGGUGGCCAAGCGAAAGCGAUAAGUUAGCCGCCUGGGGAGUACGUUCGCAAGAAUGAAACUCAAAGGAAUUGACCGGG